rnacentral:lncRNA from 1 species
CCUUCUUACCACCACCCCAGUGGUCACUCUCCCCCAUUUUGGGGUCACUUUGUCCCACUUUGGGGUCACUUUGUCCCACUUUGGGGUCACUUUGUCCCACUUUGUGCCACUUUUGGGGUCACUUUGUGCCACUCUGGCGGUCACUUUGU